CGAGUGCUCUCCGUUGCCAUGGAGAUGACCCCAGCCGGCAGCCCACACUGACCACACCCUCUGAGGCCCUGCUGGGCGCCUGAGGCUGCUCUGAUUAACUCACAGGUCGGGACUUGUGUGUCAGCCAGCCCUUAGGAAGCGGCUUCUGUUUUGCACUUCAAAGGCGCAUCAGGCAGCUAUCAAAGAAAGAAGAGAAACAGUCAAGGCAUGGAUCUCACAGUCCAGAUUGGAGCCAACAAACCUCUGCUGGUCAAAUGAAGCCACAAAGCAGACAAGGAAACUGAGGCUCAAGGACAUUACCUAACAUCUGCAAGGCCACAAAUUGAGAAAACUGGAAAUCAGGUCUAUCCUGUGCUACAUAAGAAUAAGUAGUUGCAAUACAGGCUGAGAGAGGCUGCUGGGCCAUGGUGACCUAACAUGGUCGGAGCUGGGGGAACAUAUUUGCGAUUGCAUCUCACCAUCCCUCCAACCUCCUGCUGUCGCUUUCCAUUGACAAACACAACAGGAAGCCAAGAACAAGGAAGCAGGUCUCUCUGGAUAUAACCACACCUAACAGGGCGCUGACAAAUGUUUGUUAAACUGAAGUAACUGAUGUUUCCAUAAAUACUCAAGAAAUGCAACAGAGAAAUGAAGGACAGCAAAGGACAACACCAAAAAAAGAGGCACAGGGGAUCAUAAAGGCCCUUGUCCUGAGCUCCACAAGAGAGAGCAGAAGUAGCAACAGAAAGACGGCCUCACUCAGGCUCCUCCAUGAAAACUGAAGCCCAGUGGAAAAGUGAAGAGAAUCUCUGCAAUAAAGGCACACCAGACCACCAUACUUGGAAAGCCAGAGGACAAAGUGCGAGCAACGAUGGAGAAGAUGCAGUAACACUGCAGUAAGCUGUGAAGGACUGCAAGUGAUAGUUACAAAUAUAACCAAGUAGCUGUGAACGUGGAUUUGUGGCCAUGUUGCUCUGGGAAUUGGAACCCAGCAAUGAAUGUGACCACAGCAAUUGACUUCAAGUCUUUCUCACCUCCUCUUCCCCUUGGAUGUGACAGUUUCUCAGACUCCUCAUUUUUGAUAACCUGGACCGUUUUGAGAAGAACCUGUGAGAAAGCUGUACUUCUGUGUAAUUGCACUUACAGCUUCAUUAUAGCACUUGCAAUCUCAUGUUGAAGAUGUGGAGAGAAGAGAACCUUUAUAGGUUUGUAGCAGGACUGCAAUUAGUGCAAUUAAUGCAGCCAUUGAUGCAUCAAUUAGUGCAGCCAUUAAUGAAAGCAUGAAGGUUUCUCAAAAAAACUUAAACAUAGACCUAGCAUAUGAUCCAGUGCUAGCUCUACAGUAUAUCCGAAAGAAAUGGAAUCGGUAUGGCAAGGAGGCAACUGCACACACACAUCCAUUGCAGCACUAAUCAUGAUACGCAAGUUGGAGAAUCAACCUGUGUUCAUCAAGAGACAGGUAAAGAAAAUGGGCCCAUGUGUGCACAGUGGAAUAUGGUCUGGCUUCCACAGAGAAGAAAACCCGGGCAUUUGCAGGAACGUGGAAGGAAUUGGAUGACCUUAUGUUAAGUGAAAUAAGCCAGGCACAGAGAGACAAGUACCACACCAUCUCAUUUCUCUGUGGACUCUGAAAAUGUCAAACUCGAGGAAGCAGAGCGGAGUGACAGUUAACAGUCAUGGAAGUGGACGUGGGAGCAGGACUGGGGAGACGUCUGUCAAAGGGUGCAAAAUUUCUGUUAGAUGGAAGGAGUGAGUUCAAAAAAUCUGCUGUGGAACAUGGUGAGGACAGCUGAUAACAAUGUGUUGUAUCCUAAGAGCAGUGCAGAUUUUAACUAUUCUCACCCAAAUAAUGGAUAAGUAUGUAAAAUAAUGCAUUUGCAAUUAGUUUGAUUUAGCCACUACACAGUGAAUAUAUAUUUCAGAACCUAUGGUAGAUACCAUAAAUAUAAUACAUUCUUUCAAUUUAAAAAUAAUUUAAAAGAAAAUCUUUGUAUAUUAAGAUAAAAAUAUAUUAAAAACUUUGUUGUAUUAUUAAAUAAAAUAUUUUUGUCUUUAUGGGACAAUCCAAUCAUCGAAUCAUAGACUCUAUGUACACAGCAAAAUGCUUUUCAAUGUUUUUGUGCCAUAAGCCACAUAGACCCUGGUUCAACAGGACUCAGAGCAGGAACAGUGGAUUCUACUGAAUCAGCUGCAAUUUCUUGAAGAGUUUCAUAGAAAGAUGAACUGAUCAUAUGAACCAAAGAGAAAAGGGGAUAGAAAAAUAAAUUCAUCAUCUUCAGAAGAGUGAAAUAACCUAGCACAUUCAUAUAUUCUAAAAAUUUAUCUUCUAGUUUUCCACAUAUAGACCUUAAUGUUUUAUUAAGUUUACAGCUAAGUAUUUCAUUUUUUUGUGCUGUAGUAAAUAGCACUUCAAAUUUUAAUUAAAAGUAAUGUUUAGAUUCAAAUUGUUGCCUGGUGAAAUAUGGAAAAGCAAUUUUAUACAUUCACCUUAUAUCCCCUGGCCCUGCUAAAUUUACUUAUUAGUUCUAGAAGUCUUUUUGAGACUUAUUUGUGGUUCUAUAAAUAGACAAUCAGGUCAGUGAGAAUAGAGACAAUUUUAAUUCUUCCUUUAAAAUCUGUACCCUUUUAGUUUCCUUCAUGGGACGGCACCAGUUAGGACUUCUAUGAUGUAAAACAGGGUUGAUAAAAGAAGGUAGCGUCCCUUUCUUGAUCAACUUAGAAGGAAAAUGUCUCAUUCUCAGUGUGAGGGAUUAUGUGUGCUAUAGGAAUUUUUGUAGAUAUAUAGAUUUAAGAAGUAGC
rnacentral:lncRNA from 1 species